AAAAGCCUCUAAGCAUCAGGUAACAUCAAAUCGUACCCCAAACCGACACAGGUGGUCAGGUAGAGAAUACCAAGGCGCUUGAGAGAACUCGGGUGAAGGAACUAGGCAAAAUGGUGCCGUAACUUCGGGAGAAGGCACGCUGACACGUAGGUGAAGUGAUUUACUCAUGGAGCUGAAGUCAGUCGAAGAUACCAGCUGGCUGCAACUGUUUAUUAAAAACACAGCACUGUGCAAACACGAAAGUGGACGUAUACGGUGUGACGCCUGCCCGGUGCCGGAAGGUUAAUUGAUGGGGUCAGCGCAAGCGAAGCUCCUGAUCGAAGCCCCGGUAAACGGCGGCCGUAACUAUAACGGUCCUAAGGUAGCGAAAUUCCUUGUCGGGUAAGUUCCGACCUGCACGAAUGGCGUAAUGAUGGCCAGGCUGUCUCCACCCGAGACUCAGUGAAAUUGAACUCGCUGUGAAGAUGCAGUGUACCCGCGGCAAGACGGAAAGACCCCGUGAACCUUUACUAUAGCUUGACACUGAACAUUGAGCCUUGAUGUGUAGGAUAGGUGGGAGGCUUUGAAGUGUGGACGCCAGUCUGCAUGGAGCCGACCUUGAAAUACCACCCUUUAAUGUUUGAUGUUCUAACGUGGACCCGUUACCCGGGUUGCGGACAGUGUCUGGUGGGUAGUUUGACUGGGGCGGUCUCCUCCUAAAGAGUAACGGAGGAGCACGAAGGUUGGCUAAUCCUGGUCGGACAUCAGGAGGUUAGUGCAAUGGCAUAAGCCAGCUUGACUGCGAGCGUGACGGCGCGAGCAGGUGCGAAAGCAGGUCAUAGUGAUCCGGUGGUUCUGAAUGGAAGGGCCAUCGCUCAACGGAUAAAAGGUACUCCGGGGAUAACAGGCUGAUACCGCCCAAGAGUUCAUAUCGACGGCGGUGUUUGGCACCUCGAUGUCGGCUCAUCACAUCCUGGGGCUGAAGUAGGUCCCAAGGGUAUGGCUGUUCGCCAUUUAAAGUGGUACGCGAGCUGGGUUUAGAACGUCGUGAGACAGUUCGGUCCCUAUCUGCCGUGGGCGCUGGAGAACUGAGGGGGGCUGCUCCUAGUACGAGAGGACCGGAGUGGACGCAUCACUGGUGUUCGGGUUGUCAUGCCAAUGGCACUGCCCGGUAGCUAAAUGCGGAAGAGAUAAGUGCUGAAAGCAUCUAAGCACGAAACUUGCCCCGAGAUGAGUUCUCCCUGAGACUUAAAGUCUCCUGAAGGAACGUUGAAGACGACGACGUUGAUAGGCCGGGUGUGUAAGCGCAGCGAUGCGUUGAGCUAACCGGUACUAAUGAACCGUGAGGCUUAA
rnacentral:rRNA from 1 species